rnacentral:rRNA from 1 species
CCUACGGGGGGCAGCAGUGGGGAAUAUUGGACAAUGGGCGAAAGCCUGAUCCAGCCAUGCCGCGUGUGUGAAGAAGGCCUUCGGGUUGUAAAGCACUUUCAGUGGGGAAGAAAGCCUUGGGGCUAAUACCCUCGAGGAAGGACAUCACCCACAGAAGCAGCACCGGCUAACUCCGUGCCAGCAGCCGCGGUAAUACGGAGGGUGCGAGCGUUAAUCGGAAUUACUGGGCGUAAAGCGCGCGUAGGCGGUCUGAUAAGCCGGUUGUGAAAGCCCCGGGCUCAACCUGGGAACGGCAUCCGGAACGGUCAGGCUAGAGUGCAGGAGAGGAAGGUAGAAUUCCCGGUGUAGCGGUGAAAUGCGUAGAGAUCAGGAGGAAUACCAGUGGCGAAGGCGGCUUUCUGGACUGACACUGACGCUGAGGUGCGAAAGCGUGGGUAGCAAACAGGAUUAGAUACCCUGGUAGUC